rnacentral:rRNA from 1 species
GUGAGGAAUAUUGGUCAAUGGGCGGAAGCCUGAACCAGCCAUCCCGCGUGAAGGAAGGCGGCCCUAUGGGUUGUAAACUUCUUUAGUACAUGAAGAACAGGAUCUACGCGUAGGUUUAUGACGGUAAUGUACAAAAAAGCAUCGGCUAACUCCGUGCCAGCAGCCGCGGUAAUACGGAGGAUGCGAGCGUUAUCCGGAUUCAUUGGGUUUAAAGGGUACGUAGGUGGCCCUGUAAGUCAGUGGUGAAAAUCUGCCGCUUAACGGUAGGGGUGCCAAUGAUACGGCGGGGCUUGAGUACAGUUGAGGUAGGUGGAGUGUGUAGUGUAGCGGUGAAAUGCAUAGAUAUUACACAGAACUCCGAUUGCGAAGGCAUCUUACUAAGCUGAAACUGACACUGAUGUACGAAAGCGUGGGGAUCGAACAGGAUUAGAUACCCCAGUAGUCC